UACGUAGGGGGCAAGCGUUGUCCGGAUUUAUUGGGCGUAAAGAGCGUGUAGGCGGCCAGAUAAGUCUGCUGUGAAAACUCGAGGCUCAACCUCGAGCUGUCGGCGGAAACUAUUUGGCUAGAGUCCGGAAGAGGAAAGCGGAAUUCCUGGUGUAGCGGUGAAAUGCGCAGAUAUCAGGAAGGACACCCGUGGCGAAGGCGGCUUUCUGGGACGGUACUGACGCUGAGACGCGAAAGCGUGGGGAGCGAACAGG
rnacentral:rRNA from 1 species